GGCGAUGGCGGUCGAAACCUCGAAAUCAUAGAUGGCAACGUGUUGAAAUUCGUGCAUAAGCCUUGCUACGCUUCAACUUACCCUCCUCCUUUUGAUCAUCAUCAUCAUCAAAAACAGACUGUUCCUAAGAAGAAAAAGAAGUCAUCGUCUCUUUCAAUCAAGUCAUGGUGGAAUGAUCCAAAGAUGAAAAGGAAGAUGAGACUUACGGGCUAUAAAAUGUACGCCAUUGAAGGGAAGAUCAAAACUUCUUUGAAGAAAGCACAUAAGUGGAUCAAGAAGAAGUAUCGUAGUAUCGUGCAUGGUUACUAAUAUAUGAGAGUGGGAGAUAUAUGUGUUUGAUCAUAAAGAAAACACAUGAGUGUUUUCCAUUUUUUUUGUGUUCUUGCUUUGAUGUGAAUCGUUUUAUAUUUUAUAUUUUUUUCUUUGUUGUUGUUGCUACACUUUUUAGACCACUUGUAAUAGAAAAAAAAUUUAUGUGUUUUCUUUGGUCAUUUUCUUUCAUGAAGAACUUGUAACGUGUUGCAUGAUGAAAAUAUAUGAGCAAUAUAUUGAAAUUAUUCACAUGCAACCCCUAACCAUGAGUCCAUGAAUUUAAUAUGCUUUUCUAACUGUACAACGAAAUGAUGAAAUUAUAUGCUAACCCAAGUCUAAUUACUAUUCAAAAAAAAAAUUAUACUAGAAGUCAUAAAUGAGAGAUUACCUGUAAAAAGAGUUGAACCGAAACGAUGAAGACCACUAGAAACACCCUCGCUCAAGAUAAGUUUUGAUGCUGCUUUUCAAAGCUAUGCAAAGAAAUCAUGCUCGGGGAUAGCGGGCAAAAAUUCAGAAGGGACGGUUUUGGGUUCGAGAAUGAUUAUCAACAAUCACGUACUUACUCUUUCGCGGCAGAAGCGCUUGCAUGCCUCCAGACAAUUCAAGUGGUCCUUGAUCUGGGUUACAGGGAUGUGGUAAUUGAAGGGGAUUCCCGUACUAUAGUAAAGAAACUACAUGCACAAAACGAAGAUGGAUCUGUCAUUAGUGCCUAUAUUACAGAUGCAAAAUCUUUGAGUGAAAUCUUUGACACGUGUAUCUUUAAACAUGUACUAAGGAAAGAGAACGGAUUGGCACAUCUCCUAGUUACGGAAGGGAUUUGAAGGGGCGAAACAACUUAUUUGGUGGAAAGGGUGCCUUUGUUUGCUG
rnacentral:lncRNA from 1 species